GCCCCGGCUAACUACGUGCCAGCAGCCGCGGUAAUACGUAGGGGGCAAGCGUUAUCCGGAUUCAUUGGGCGUAAAGCGCGCGCAGGCGGCGCGCCAAGCGGGGUUUUUAACCUUGGGGCUUAACCCUAAGCCGGACCCCGAACUGGCGUGCUCGAGUGCGGUAGAGGCAGGCGGAACUCCCGGUGUAGCGGUGGAAUGCGCAGAUAUCGGGAGGAACACCGACGGCGAAGGCAGCCUGCCGGGCCGCCACUGACGCUCAGGCGCGAAAGCCGGGGGAGCGAACAGGAUUAGAUACCCUGGUAGUCCCGGCCGUAAACGAUGAUAGCUAGGUGUGGGGAGACACUCUUUCUGCGCCGCAGCAAACGCGUUAAGCUAUCCGCCUGGGGAGUACGGCCGCA
rnacentral:rRNA from 1 species